UCUCUACCUCUGAACAGAAUUAUACAAACAGACCGACAUAUCGAUGUUCGAGUGGGCAUCUAGUCAGCUUCCCUCUCCUAUCUGCAGACCUACCGUUCUCGCUCCCUCUCUCUCGGUGAUAAAUCUGUCGGUGAUAUUUGGCUUUUCUCGUCAGCAAGUGCUACGUUUCCUCACCUCUUGUUGCAAUAUUUACCAUCUUUACCAUCAUUCAGACAAGAGCUUCAUAUGGGGGAGGUGGUUCCACUGGACAAAACACUUCGAUCCCUUUCAUCCUGGUUGCAUAGAUAUGAGUCAGAGGAAUGACAUCAUUGCUCAGAAUGCUGGAACAACAACAGGAACAUGUCUUCAACUAAGUCACAACUACCUACAAGCUCGCUAACAAGACCACUGUUCAGAGCAAUUGUAAGAUUAUUGAGAUUUUUUAUUUCCUGUUACAGGUGUUGUAGAUCUUUAUAUAAUGAGUAUGUAUCAAUGCUGUAAACGAAACCUUUUAGUGGUAGCAAUCUUGAUGUAUGUAUUGAAAUAAAGAUCAUGGAA